GGCAGGGUACAGCUCAGUGGUAGAGCGUGUGCUUAGCAAGCACGAGGUCCUGGGUUCAAUCCCCAGCACCUCCA
rfam:Camelus ferus unplaced genomic scaffold scaffold1407, whole genome shotgun sequence.